rnacentral:rRNA from 1 species
AGGACGAACGCUGGCGGCGUGCUUAACACAUGCAAGUCGAACGAUGAAGCCUUUCGGGGUGGAUUAGUGGCGAACGGGUGAGUAACACGUGGGCAACCUGCCCUCCACUCUGGGAUAACUCCGGGAAACCGGGCUAAUACUGGAUAUGACCUGGGAUCGCAUGGUCCUGGGUGGAAAGUUUUUCGGUGGAGGAUGGGCCCGCGGCCUAUCAACUUGUUGGUGGGUGAUGGCCUACCAAGGCGGUGACGGGUA